rnacentral:rRNA from 1 species
UACCGCAUACGACCGAGAGGUGAAAGCGAGGGACCGAAAGGCCUCGCGCAGCAGGAUGAGCCGAUGUCCGAUUAGCUAGUUGGUGGGGUAAAGGGCCUACCAAGGCGACGAUCGGUAGCUGGUCUGAGAGGAUGAUCAGCCACACUGGGACUGAGACACGGCCCAGACUCCUACGGGAGGCAGCAGUGGGGAAGUAUUGGACAAUGGGGGCGAGCCCUGAUCCAGCAAUGCCGCGUGUGUGAAGAAGGCCUUCGGGUUGUAAAGCACUUUAUCGGGAACGAAACACCGUGGGUUAAUACCCUGCGGGACUGACGGUACCCGAGGAAUAAGCACCGGCUAACUCCGUG